UUACGACCACAUCCUGUUGAAACACGGGUUCCUAUACGAUCACUGAAGUUAGGCAAUGUUGAGCCUGGUCAGUACCUAAAUGGGUGACUGUUUGGGAAUACCAGAUAUUGUAU